rnacentral:rRNA from 1 species
AGCCCUAAGUGGGUGGUAAACUCCAUCUAAGGCUAAAUAUGACCACGAGACCGAUAGCGAACAAGUACCGUGAGGGAAAGUUGAAAAGCACUUUGAAGAGAGAGUUCAAGAGUACGUGAAACCGUUUAGGGGUAAACCUGAGAAACCCGAAAGGUCGAAGGGAGAAAUUCAUCGCGUUUCGUCGCAGGCGUCGGACGUUCGUGUGACGGGGAAGCGUUCGCGCUUUUCCGCGCCUUUCGUUCCUCGAACCGGCGACGAACGCGUGCACUUUUCUUCUGGUAGGACGUCGCGAUCCGUUGAGUGUCGGUCUACGGCUCGCGGUGGAGCCCGUUCGUCGUUUCUACGGCGAGCGGACCCGCGUUGCUUCCCGGCCGACUCGCUCGACGGUAUACGAAAGGUUUAAGGCCGCUCGUUUGGAGCGUUCGACUCGCGGCAAGCGCGUCAGAUUGGUUGGCGAUCGGACCCGGUGCCGAUUCUGACCGCUGAUGACUGUUGGCCGCGAAGUUCUCGAACCGUGCCUUCGGACCGAUCUGCGACGCUAUAGCUUUGGGUAAUUUCAG